CAGUAGCCGCGGGAAUACGUAGGCGGCAAGCGUUGUCCGGAAUUAUUGGGCGUAAAGGGCUCGCAGGCGGUUUCUUAAGUCUGAUGUGAAAGCCCCCGGCUCAACCGGGGAGGGUCAUUGGAAACUGGGAAACUUGAGUGCGGAAGAGGAGAGUGGAAUUCCACGUGUAGCGGUGAAAUGCGUAGAGAUGUGGAGGAACACCAGUGGCGAAGGCGACUCUCUGGUCUGUAACUGACGCUGAGGAGCGAAAGCGUGGGGAGCGAACAGGAUUAGAUACCCCCGUAGUCCCUGUCUCUUAUAC
rnacentral:rRNA from 1 species